GGGUUGUGAGGUUAAGCGACUAAGCGUACACGGUGGAUGCCCUGGCAGUCAGAGGCGAUGAAGGACGUGCUAAUCUGCGAUAAGCGUCGGUAAGGUGAUAUGAACCGUUAUAACCGGCGAUUUCCGAAUGGGGAAACCCAGUGUGUUUCGACACACUAUCAUUAACUGAAUCCAUAGGUUAAUGAGGCGAACCGGGGGAACUGAAACAUCUAAGUACCCCGAGGAAAAGAAAUCAACCGAGAUUCCCCCAGUAGCGGCGAGCGAACGGGGAGCAGCCCAGAGCCUGAAUCAGUGUGUGUGUUAGUGGAAGCGUCUGGAAAGGCGCGCGAUACAGGGUGACAGCCCCGUACACAAAAAUGCACAUGCUGUGAGCUCGAUGAGUAGGGCGGGACACGUGGUAUCCUGUCUGAAUAUGGGGGGACCAUCCUCCAAGGCUAAAUACUCCUGACUGACCGAUAGUGAACCAGUACCGUGAGGGAAAGGCGAAAAGAACCCCGGCGAGGGGAGUGAAAAAGAACCUGAAACCGUGUACGUACAAGCAGUGGGAGCACAGAGCAAUCUGUGUGACUGCGUACCUUUUGUAUAAUGGGUCAGCGACUUAUAUUCUGUAGCAAGGUUAACCGAAUAGGGGAGCCGAAGGGAAACCGAGUCUUAACUGGGCGUUAAGUUGCAGGGUAUAGACCCGAAACCCGGUGAUCUAGCCAUGGGCAGGUUGAAGGUUGGGUAACACUAACUGGAGGACCGAACCGACUAAUGUUGAAAAAUUAGCGGAUGACUUGUGGCUGGGGGUGAAAGGCCAAUCAAACCGGGAGAUAGCUGGUUCUCCCCGAAAGCUAUUUAGGUAGCGCCUCGUGAAUUCAUCUCCGGGGGUAGAGCACUGUUUCGGCAAGGGGGUCAUCCCGACUUACCAACCCGAUGCAAACUGCGAAUACCGGAGAAUGUUAUCACGGGAGACACACGGCGGGUGCUAACGUCCGUCGUGAAGAGGGAAACAACCCAGACCGCCAGCUAAGGUCCCAAAGUCAUGGUUAAGUGGGAAACGAUGUGGGAAGGCCCAGACAGCCAGGAUGUUGGCUUAGAAGCAGCCAUCAUUUAAAGAAAGCGUAAUAGCUCACUGGUCGAGUCGGCCUGCGCGGAAGAUGUAACGGGGCUAAACCAUGCACCGAAGCUGCGGCAGCGAC
rnacentral:rRNA from 1 species